rnacentral:rRNA from 1 species
AGAGAGAGACAUGCGUGCAUAUCAAUAAGCGGAGGAAAAGAAACUAACAAGGAUUCCCCUAGUAACGGCGAGUGAAGCGGGAAGAGCUCAACUUUGAAAUCUUAAAGGUUUUCCCUUGACGAAUUGUAGUUUAAAGAAGUGUUUUCUGUUGAAGGUUUCGGUAAAAGUUCUUUGGAAUAGGACAUCAUAGAGGGUGAGAAUCCCGUAUUUGACCUUUACUUUCAACUUUGUGAUACACUUUCAAAGAGUCGGAUUGUUUGGGAAUGCAGUCCAAAAUGGGUGGUAAAUUUCAUCUAAAGCUAAAUAUUGGCGAGAGACCGAUAGCGAACAAGUACCGUGAGGGAAAGACGAAAAGAACUUUGAAAAGAGAGUUAAACAGUACGUGAAAUUGUCAAAAGGGAAGCGUUUGACACCAGUGUUGUUUUUCUGAAAAUCAAUUAAAGAACUGUUUAUGCUAAGUUGUUUAGACUUUAUCAGCUAACUGUUUAGUUUUGAGCUUUUCUUUAAUGCACUUUUCAGUUAACAAGUCAACAUCAAUUUCUUUUGCUGUAAAAAAGCUUGAGGAAGGUGGCUUGAGAUUCGUCUUAAGUGUUUAUAGCCUCUUGCCUAUGCAGUCGGAGAGAUUGAGGUCUGCAGCGUAGAUCCUUCGGGGCUAAAUGCAUUUGUGCUAAGUUAUAGCAUUUUAUAGACAACUUGUUGACUAUGAUUUGUCUUGUAGCUUACUCGCUUAUGUUAUUUUACCUACGCUUAGGAUGUUGAGCGCAUGUCUCUCUCU